CCUACGGGAGGCAGCAGUGAGGAAUAUUGGUCAAUGGACGAAAGUCUGAACCAGCCAAGUAGCGUGCGGGAUGACGGCCCUAGGGGUCGUAAACUUCUUUUACACGGGAAUAAAAUGCUCCACGUGUGGAGUUUUGUAUGUACCAUACGAAUAAGGGACGGCUAAUUCCGUGCCGGCAGCCGCGGUAAUACGGAGGGGCCGAACGUUAUCCGGAUUUAUUGGGCUUAAAGGGAGCGUAGGUGGGUGGUUAAGUCAGUUGGGAAAGUUUGCGGCUUAACCGUAGAAUUGAAGUUGAAACUGGACGUGUUGAGUACACAAGAGGCAAGCGGAAUUCGUGGUGUAGCGGUGAAAUGCGUAGAUAUCACGAGGAACCCCGAUUGCGAAGGCAGCUAGCUGGAGUGCAACUGACGCUGAGGCUCGAAGGUGUGGGUAUCAAACAGGAUUAGAUACCCGAGUAGUC
rnacentral:rRNA from 1 species